CGGGUGAGUAACACGUGGGUGACCUGCCUUUAGCUCUGGGAUAAGCCUGGGAAACUGGGUCUAAUACCGGAUAUGACUCCAUGACGCAUGUUGUGGGGUGGAAAGCCUUGUGCGGCUAGGGAUGGGCCCGCGGCCUAUCAGCUUGUUGGUGGGGUGAUGGCCUACCAAGGCGACGACGGGUAGCCGGCCUGAGAGGGCGACCGGCCACACUGGGACUGAGACACGGCCCAG
rnacentral:rRNA from 1 species